rnacentral:lncRNA from 1 species
CUUCCUGGCUUCUCGGCUGUGAACUCUUGACCUUGGUGGGUCCGCAGCCUUAGCUGGGCCCCCGGGCAGGGAACGCGGUGGGCUCGAGGAACCCGGCCGGGAGAGUGCGGCUGCCCGGAGCCACCGGCGCUGAGCAGGUGGGCACUGGGCGCCCUGAGUCCCUGUCCUCAGUGCACUGUGGCAAUCCAAUUCACUCCAUCGUCAAAUGUCCUUCUUCUGGCUAUUUUCAGUUUCACCACCAGUGCAGAAAAAGUGAAAGAAAAAAAGGUCAGUGGGUUUUUAUGUCUUUGUUUAAGGGAUUGCACCUCAAGAAGGAGAAGUGAAGUGAGAGGCUGCCCGCGGAGGAGGUGGGGGCUGGGCGGGAGCUCCCUGAGCGGCCGGCGUCCCCAGUGUGGGGCUCACCAGAGCCAAGUGUUUGCUGCUGGCUUGUUACCUGUUUAGUCUUUACGAGGAUCUUUAUGAUUCCCUUACAAGGAGUGCAUGUGAAAAACCCACAGAAUCCCAGUUUUCGGUACUAGAUGGGGUCUUAGAGAGUGUCUGCUUUCCCAUUUUCUGGCGAGAUGCUGUCAGAAGGGUGAGACUUGCACUAGGGGGGGGUUGAGACAGAUCCAGGGCACACCCUGUGUGCAGAAUUCUGCACGGUUGCCCGAGAGGGUGCUUGAGACACGGGCACCCUGUCCUCAGUGGUACGGUCUAGGCUUUGAACACUAACUCUGCUGUGGACGGAGCUUCUUAGCAUCUCUGCACUUUAGAUUCCUUGAAAUACGGUUGGUAAUUAUGACCUUCCGGGGCUGCGCUGACACAGAGCUGGGCUUUGAUAAUUCUCGGUGUUCCCUGACCAGAUACGGGACCUGUUGCUGCUCACUCCCCGUCUGGUGAUGGGUUUUGUUUCUCUCUGACCUCAGGUUCAGAGAGGUGGGCACUGGCCAGGGGCUGAGGCAGGGCAGACAGAAGGCAGAUGUCUUCGUAGCCCCCACACCGGCAGCAGAGCCCCGGUAACCAGUCCCUGAGCCCUGUAGCUGGGCUUUGAGGGACCAGAGGUGUGACUGCAGAACAAAACCAGGAGGAGCAGG